GACGAACGCUGGCGGCGUGCUUAACACAUGCAAGUCGAACGGAAAGGCCCUGCUUUUGUGGGGUGCUCGAGUGGCGAACGGGUGAGUAACACGUGUGUAACCUGCCCUUGACUUUGGGAUAACUUCAGGAAACUGGGGCUAAUCCCGGAUAGGAGCUCCUGCUGCAUGGUGGGGGUUGGAAAGUUUCGGCGGUUGGGGAUGGACUCGCGGCUUAUCAGCUUGUUGGUGGGGUAGUGGCUUACCAAGGCUUUGACGGGUAGCCGGCCUGAGAGGGUGACCGGCCACAUUGGGACUGAGGUACGGCCCAGACUCCUACGGGAGGCAGCAGUGGGGAAUAUUGCACAAUGGGCGGAAGCCGGAUGCAGCAACGCCGCGUGCGGGAUGACGGCCUGCGGGUUGUAAACCGCUUUCGCCUGUGACGAAGCGUGAGUGACGGUAAUGGGUAAAGAAGCACCGGCUAACUACGUG
rnacentral:rRNA from 1 species